rnacentral:rRNA from 1 species
GUGGGGAAUCUUGCGCAAUGGGCGAAAGCCUGACGCAGCCAUGCCGCGUGAAUGAUGAAGGUCUUAGGAUUGUAAAAUUCUUUCACCGGGGACGAUAAUGACGGUACCCGGAGAAGAAGCCCCGGCUAACUUCGUGCCAGCAGCCGCGGUAAUACGAAGGGGGCUAGCGUUGCUCGGAAUUACUGGGCGUAAAGGGCGCGUAGGCGGACAGUUUAGUCAGAGGUGAAAGCCCAGGGCUCAACCUUGGAAUUGCCUUUGAUACUGGCUGUCUUGAGUACGGGAGAGGUGAGUGGAACUCAGAGUGUAGAGGUGAAAUUCGUAGAUAUUCGGAAGAACACCAGUGGCGAAGGCGACUCACUGGCCCGUUACUGACGCUGAGGCGCGAAAGCGUGGGGAGCAAACAGGAUUAGAUACCCUGGUAGUCC